UGAGGAAUAUUUGUCAAUGGACGCAAGUCUGAACCAGCCAAGUAGCGUGCAGGAUGACGGCCCUAUGGGUUGUAAACUGCUUUUAUAUGGGGAUAAAGUGGGGAACGUGUUCCCUUUUGCAGGUACCAUAUGAAUAAGGACCGGCUAAUUCCGUGCCAGCAGCCGCGGUAAUACGGAAGGUUCGGGCGUUAUCCGGAUUUAUUGGGUUUAAAGGGAGCGUAGGCCGUUUGGUAAGCGUGUUGUGAAAUUUACCGGCUCAACCGGUGGCUUGCAGCGCGAACUGGUCGACUUGAGUAUGCAGGAAGUAGGCGGAAUUCAUGGUGUAGCGGUGAAAUGCUUAGAUAUCAUGACGAACUCCGAUUGCGCAGGCAGCUUACUGUAGCAUAACUGACGCUGAUGCUCGAAAGUGCGGGUAUCAAACAGG
rnacentral:rRNA from 1 species